rnacentral:rRNA from 1 species
GACGAACGCUGGCGGCGUGCUUAACACAUGCAAGUCGAACGGAAAGGCCCUGCUUUUGUGGGGUGCUCGAGUGGCGAACGGGUGAGUAACACGUGAGUAACCUGCCCUUGACUUUGGGAUAACUUCAGGAAACUGGGGCUAAUACCGGAUAGGAGCUCCUGCUGCAUGGAGGGGGUUGGAAAGUUUCGGCGGUUGGGGAUGGACUCGCGGCUUAUCAGCUUGUUGGUGGGGUAGUGGCUUACCAAGGCUUUGACGGGUAGCCGGCCUGAGAGGGUGACCGGCCACAUUGGGACUGAGAUACGGCCCAGACUCCUACGGGAGGCAGCAGUGGGGAAUAUUGCACAAUGGGCGGAAGCCUGAUGCAGCAACGCCGCGUGCGUGAUGACGGCCUUCGGGUUGUAAACCGCUUUCGCCUGUGACGAAGCGUGAGUGACGGUAAUGGGUAAAGAAGCACCGGCUAACUACGUG